rnacentral:rRNA from 1 species
CUAUACAUGACUCUGCGCAUAUCAAUAAGCGGAGGAAAAGAAACUAACAAGGAUUCCCCUAGUAACGGCGAGUGAAGCGGGAAGAGCUCAAAUUUGAAAUCUUAAAGGGUUUCCCUUUACGAAUUGUAGUUUAAAGAAGUGUUUUCUGUUGAGGUUUUGGUAAAAGUUCUUUGGAAUAGGACAUCAUAGAGGGUGAGAAUCCCGUAUUUGACCUUUACUUUCAACUUUGUGAUACACUUUCAAAGAGUCGGAUUGUUUGGGAAUGCAGUCCAAAAUGGGUGGUAAAUUUCAUCUAAAGCUAAAUAUUGGCGAGAGACCGAUAGCGAACAAGUACCGUGAGGGAAAGAUGAAAAGAACUUUGAAAAGAGAGUUAAACAGUACGUGAAAUUGUCAAAAGGGAAGCGUUUGACACCAGUGUUGUUUUUCUGAAAAUCAAUUAAAGAACUGUUUAUGCUAAGUUGUUUAGACUUUAUCAGCUAACUGUUUAGUUUUGAGCUUUUCUUUAAUGCACUUUUCAGUUAACAAGUCAACAUCAAUUUCUUUUGCUGUAAAAAAGCUUGAGGAAGGUGGCUUGAGAUUCGUCUUAAGUGUUUAUAGCCUCUUGCCUAUGCAGUCGGGGAGAUUGAGGUCUGCAGCGUAGAUCCUUCGGGGCUAAAUGCAUUUGUGCUAAGUUAUAGCAUUUUAUAGACAACUUGUUGACUAUGAUUUGUCUUGUAGCUUACUCGCUUAUGUUAUUUUACCUACGCUUAGGAUGUUGAUCUACAGAGCGAGAGU